UCCUGAGCGGGGCCUCCCCGGCCUCCCGCCCCUGGCCCCAGAGCUUUCCCGGGGAGCCAGUGGGCAUCUGUGUCUGCGGGAGCAAGGCGGCUGGGGGCGCCAAGCGGCUGGUUCAGCUCUUCUGUAAGCUCAUUAGCAGAAUUCCUGAUCACAUUCUCCGGCUCGCGAUGCCCUUACACAUCACAUCUCCCCAGAGGUGGACUUCGCUUGCACGGCCAGUUUCUUAUGGGCACUACGGUGGUGCCUGCUGUUUCCCUUUCUUGCCAGCCAGAAGAAAGUAAUACAAAAUAAAAGUUAAGAAAAGACACACAUGCAGACGAAGUGCCCUUCCAGUCUUGUUUUGGAAUCCCAUAAAGCCGUGGUAUCCUUCCCACAUCUGUGGGCGUGCACUGUGUCAGACGAUCUGAGGAGGCACCCAAUUACAGUCAGAGUUGCAUCGAAAACGGCUCAGGAAAAGGGCUUUCUUUUCGGGAAUGUGAUAGCAUAUGUGUUUUCUGAGCUUUUCGCUUUUCAUGUGAAAUUAUAAUAAAUUGUGCAUGAAGGUGAAACACUGAGGGUGAUGCAGCCCUUAUUAAAUUGAAUUUAGUGGAUGGUUAAUUCUGAUGAUGCUGAAGUAUUGCUCACUCUGAAGUAGCGACAUCGGUGCCAGGAAAGUCCUUGAUGCGUUUGGCAUGGAGCUGUGACAUUUAAGCUAUUAGGCUGGAGGGAAACGUGAACAGAGCUGAUGGGGCGACGGCUGGUCUCACUUCUAGUGCAUCUGGGGAGCUCUCUGCGUGCCUGAUUAUAAUGAAGAACUUUACAGUUUUUCUAUUUAGUAAAUAUAUACCAUUUAUAUAAUAUAGAGAGA